rfam:Roseovarius sp. BRH_c41 BRHa_1003823, whole genome shotgun sequence.
AUUGCGGAUGCGAAACUGCCGGAUAUGCAGGCUGGUUGGGAGCAGGCGACGUCGAAUGUCAUGGCCGGGCUUUCGGGGCUCAACAUGGUCUAUGAGGCGG